UUUUUUUUAUUUUAAUCUGGCUUUUAAACUUUUUUUUCCACUUUUAAAAAAUAUAAAUUAUAUGAAAAUACAAGUUGGAAAAUAGUUGAACAGCACAAUAUAACAAUCUCUUUUUUCUUCUUCUUCUUUUUCUAUCAGCUUAAAAAGAAAAUCCCAUUUGUAAAAACAAAACUAAACCAAAAAAAAAAGACCACUUUUUUUUUCUUUUUCUACUGAGGCAGAUAAUUCCUGGAGAUAUUCCAUUAUAACAUAUAUGUAUACAUAGAUUUAUCAUUUAUUUAAACCUCUUUGGAAUGUAGACAACAGCUCAUGGAUGUUAUAUAGACCCUACCAGAGAGCAGAGCACGCCAAGGCAUCCCAAUAUUGCGACGUUAACAAGGAACAAGCAACCAAAGCCCUAAAGCCUUGCAGAAAACCCCUCCAGAAAAGCAAACAUGAGAAGAUGGACGUGUUUCCCACAGCAUCCAGAUUUACUGGUGCUUAUUGGGACCAUUCUUUUGGAGGAGGUUGGUUUGGAAAGAUGUGAGAAGGUUCAGUCAUACAGUAUCUUCUAUUUCUUGCCCUGUUUGGCUAUUUUUCCCACCAAAAGCACCUGAGACAUUCCAAAACAAGACACAAUUACCCAGUUCCAAAAGCCAUGUGUAUCUGCUGAGGGUGAAGCUCGUCGCCAUGCAGAGAAACCAGCAGAGGAGCGAGCCGCAUCCCCAGCAGAUCUCCAUCGUCCCUCUCAAACCCAUCUGGUCCAGCACGUGUGAGUGGAUUGAUCAACUCUUCACGGCCUUGAGGAACAGGAAGUCAGAGGGUCUGGGUUCCAGCACAUCUGGUUCAGCACACUCCUCGCCAAAAGCCAAAAAGCAGAAAGAUACAAAUAAAAACAGAAACAACAACAAAUCUGCAAAGUUCCAGUGUAUAAACAGCACACAGCCCUCUCUGGGAUGGUCUCUAGAAUGGGAAUAAAAAGCAAAGGAAAAUAGGAAAUGAUGAACCUGACAUCCCUAGGACUGUACUGCCCUUUUCCUGCACACAGCCUGCGAGCUGGGAUGGCAAACGGCUGGGAGAAAUCAUGGAGAAGCUCCAGCCAGGAGCUACUCCCAAAAAACCAGAGCUGCUUUCCACACUUCACCCUUUCUAACCUCUAAACCAGCUGCCCCAAAAUACUGGGAGCACACAGGUUCAGCUUGGAAACCUGGAAAAUAUAAGCACACUGGAGUGGAUGAAGGAUUUAGCCUGGCAGGAGGAUGGGGUUGGUACCCGAAUUCCCAUCAGAGGGAAGUUCUACCCCUGUCUUCUGCUUGGAAAAGGCACUUCAGCUGCAGCAGAGCAGCCAAGCAAGGCAGGAGACAUGUCUUAGGAUGCAGCACGGUGCCAAAGCCAGGAGACAGCCCUUUCGAAGGGUCUAGGGGGAUUUUCCAAAGCACUGCCAGAAGUGGCCUGGGAAGGGUAAGCUAAGGGCACUGCGCAGCUGCGUGCAGGACAGCAACAGAACACCUACGAAACCCCAUCUGAUGGCUGAAAAUCCAACCCAUACGGUGUGUCCUGUUGGGAUGCUCUUGCACUACUCCUCCCCUGCACACUUCCAUGCCGCCACAUCUUGCUUGGCUCCCUUUUCAGCCUUGGCUCUGUGGCAGAGCUCUGCUCAGGGCCUCAUCUAUGAUACCCGUUUUCCUUCCUUCUCUCCAGCUUGGCCAAGCUGCUUUCUCCCAUCCUGCCUGCCUGAGGAGAUGAGUUGAAGUUUAAUUUCCCAGUGGGCAGCAUCCCUUUGCUCCUUUGCUGCAUGCUCCUUUCACUUCCCCUUCAUCACCUUUUCCUUCCUUUCCAUCCUUCCCACCCUUUUCUUUCCCUGUGCUCAACAGGAUGAUGUACAGUCCCAGCCCCAUGAGCUAACAGCAUAACUAAUAACCUCCCUUAAACCACCACCUGCUUCCAUCCCUCUGGGCUGGAGCUCCCUUGUGUCCCACUCAUUUCCCCUCUACCAUCACCUUCUUUAUAAGCAUGCAGCAGUUUUGGGGAUGACUUGCCCCAGAAUGGCCAACUGGGAUACAGAGGUGCCCCCAUGAGUAUCUCCUUGGGAUCAAGCUCCUCAUCCAACCACUGGGCAGGGGGGUUAUGUGCCCAUGUAUUUUGUCUCUUUUCAGGCAGGGUCCUUUCCUGCCAAGCUGAUACAUCAGCCUGUAUCCGGCAGGCAUAUCCCAACAAGCAUCUCUGGGAAGCCUCUCCCCACCUCGCCCCCAGCUUCCCUCUCACAGUGCCUCCAUAACGAACACAACUCCCUAAAACACACAGACAGACAGACAGACAACACAUAAAGAAGGUACUUUUGGUUCAAACGCUUAAUACUGUCUUUAAAAAGAAAAUGCCCAGUGGCUUCAAGGGAGAAAGACCCCGUUUGUCAGCCGGAUCCACAUGGAUGCAGCUCCAGGGUUGUAUUUGGAUGUGGAAACACUCACUGCCCGAUCCUCUAACUCACACCUAGCCCAUGGUAACAGUGGUCGGCAGCAUCCCAGGAAGUGCUUGGUGCAGCUCCUCCUCGGACACACACGAGACCUCUCAUCAUUUACCCCAAUGACACUGGUUGUACGCUUCAUGUUAAUCACACCCUGCCAGGGGCUGCAGGAUCAGGCUUCCAAAGAGCAGUAGAGAACCUAUUUGCAAGGAUAAUUUCCUUUCUGUGUGUGCCAGGCUGGUUAAGACAUGGAAUCAUAGAAUCCCAGACUGGUUUGGGUUGGAAAAGACCUUAGAGCUCAUCCAGUUCCAACCCCUUGCCAUGGGCAGGGACAUCUUCCACUAGAGCAGGUUGCUCCAAGCCCCUGUGUCCAACCUGGCCUUGAACACUGCCAGGGAUGGGGCAGCCACAGUUUCUCCAGGCAACCCGUGCCAGUGUUACAUACGGCAAUAAAGAUAAGAGCUGGUUGAAACAGGAAGGAAAACUUUGGUUUUUCAACUUUUUCCUGAUUUUUAUGCCCCCAAUCAACUGAUACAUUUUCCAUUUACCACACUGAAAACAAGGGAAUAUUUUCCCUUUACUCUCCGAAAAAGAACAAACCAAAUUUUCUGAAAGCACCAAAGUGUUCCUUGAGCAAAAGAAGUGAUUUGGAAAACACAAAAAAAGACAUUUUCCCUGCAAAUCUGGCUAGGUUUCGUGCCCAAAACACAGCCGUACACAAAAGGGCCCCUUUUAGAAAAACAAUUCCAAAAGUGGGAAUUUCAACCAGCUUUAUCAGCAAGCGGCGGAGCAAAGCGUGUGGGGCUGGAGGUGAGAGCAGCACAUCCAGCAGGCAUCACUAGGAGCCAGUUUGGAGUUCAUUUUCCUUCACAUACGAUGCAGAGAUGCCGGGUCGUAGCACUCCACUCCUCCAGUGGGGUCUACAUAAACUCCUAUUUUCAUCUUUAACCUUUUCCUCACUGUGAUAAAACUCUCUGCUGGCAUAACAGAAACAAACACACACAAUAUUGCAAUACUGAGACCAUCUUAGAGCUUAAGACUAUUUAAAAAAA
rnacentral:lncRNA from 1 species